rnacentral:rRNA from 1 species
CUACGGGUCGCAGCAGUGGGGAAUAUUGGGCAAUGGGCGCAAGCCUGACCCAGCUAUGCCGCGUGAAUGAUGAAGGCCUUAGGGUUGUAAAGUUCUUUUAGAUGGGACGAUAAUGACGGUACCAUCAGAAAAAGCUCCGGCUAACUUCGUGCCAGCAGCCGCGGUAAUACGAAGGGAGCAAGCGUUGCUCGGAUUUAUUGGGCGUAAAGGGUGUGUAGGCGGUUUUGUAAGUUAGAUGUGAAAGCCCCGGGCUUAACCCGGGAACUGCAUUUAAGACUGCAUUACUUGAAGUUCGAAGAGGUUAGCAGAAUUCCCAGUGUAGAGGUGAAAUUCGUAGAUAUUGGGAAGAAUACCAAUGGCGUAGGCAGCUAACUGGUCGAUACUUGACGCUGAGGCACGAAAGCGUGGGGAGCAAACAGGAUUAGAUACCCGCGUAGUC